UAACACGUGGGUAACCUGCCCAAGAGAUCGGGAUAACACCUGGAAACAGAUGCUAAUACCGGAUAACAACAGAUGAUGCCUAUCAACUGUUUAAAAGAUGGUUCUGCUAUCACUCUUGGAUGGACCUGCGGUGCAUUAGCUAGUUGGUAGGGUAACGGCCUACCAAGGCGAUGAUGCAUAGCCGAGUUGAGAGGGUAAUCGGCCACAUUGGGACUGAGACACGGCCCAAACUCCUACGGGAGGCAGCAGGG
rnacentral:rRNA from 1 species